rnacentral:rRNA from 1 species
AUUGAACGCUGGCGGCAGGCCUAACACAUGCAAGUCGAACGGUAACAGAAAGCAGCUUGCUGCUUUGCUGACGAGUGGCGGACGGGUGAGUAAUGUCUGUGAAACUGCCUGAUGGAGGGGGAUAACUACUGGAAACGGUAGCUAAUACCGCAUAACGUCGCAAGACCAAAGAGGGGGACCUUCGGGCCUCUUGCCAUCGGAUGUGCCCAGAUGGGAUUAGCUAGUAGGUGGGGUAACGGCUCACCUAGGCGACGAUCCCUAGCUGGUCUGAGAGGAUGACCAGCCACACUGGAACUGAGACACGGUCCAGACUCCUACGGGAGGCAGCAGUGGGGAAUAUUGCACAAUGGGCGCAAGCCUGAUGCAGCCAUGCCGCGUGUAUGAAGAAGGCCUUCGGGUUGUAAAGUACUUUCAGCGGGGAGGAAGGGAGUAAAGUUAAUACCUUUGCUCAUUGACGUUACCCGCAGAAGAAGCACCGGCUAACUCCGUG